GACGAACGCUGGCGGCGUGCUUAAUACAUGCAAGUCAACUUGACUUUAGAUAACAAUAUCGAAAAGUAGGGUGGCGCACGGGUGCGUAACGCGUAGGUAAUCUGCCCUGAGGUCUGACAUAACCCGUCGAAAGGCGGGCUAACAUCAGAUGAUAUAUAAUCACGACAUCGUGGAAAUAUCAAAUCUUCGGAGCCUUGGGAUGAGCCUGCGUCUGAUUAGGUAGUUGGCGGAGUAAUAGCCCACCAAGCCUACGAUCAGUAGCUGGUCUGAGAGGAUGAUCAGCCACACUGGAACUGAGACACGGUCCAGACUCCUACGGGAGGCAGCAGUAAGGAAUAUUGCUCAAUGGGGGAAACCCUGAAGCAGCAACGCCGCGUGAAGGAUGAAAUACUUUUGUAUGUAAACUUCUGUAAGAUGGGAAAAAUAUUCUCCUCGGGAGAAUUGAUUGUACCAUCAGAGUAAG
rnacentral:rRNA from 1 species